GAUGAAGAACGCAGCGAAAUGCGAUAAGUAGUGUGAAUUGCAGAAUUCAGUGAAUCAUCGAAUCUUUGAACGCACAUUGCGCCCUUUGGUAUUCCUUAGGGCAUGCCUGUUCGAGCGUCAUUUAAACCUUCAAGCUAAGCUUGGUGUUGGGUGACUGUCCGCUUCACGGCGGACUCGCCUCAAAAUUAUUGGCGGCCGGUACAUUGGCUUCGAGCGCAGCAGAAACGCGAACUCGGGCCCGUCGUAUUGGCUCCCAGAAGCUAUCUUCACAAUUUUGACCUCGGAUCAGGUAGGGAUACCCGCUGAACUUAAGCAUAUCAAUAAAGCGGAGGA
rnacentral:misc_RNA from 1 species